rnacentral:tRNA from 2 species
GGAGUGUUGGCAGAGAGGUAAUGCAGCGGAUUGCUAAUCCGUCAUCCCGAAUAAGGAUGCACAGGUUCGAGUCCUGUACACUCCGCCA